ACGCCGCGUGAGCGAUGAAGGCCUUCGGGUCGUAAAGCUCUGUUGUUAGGGAAGAAGAAGUAUCGGAGUAACUGCCGGUACCUUGACGGUACCUAACCAGAAAGCCACGGCUAACUACGUGCCAGCAGCCGCGGUAAUACGUAGGUGGCAAGCGUUGUCCGGAAUUAUUGGGCGUAAAGCGCGCGCAGGCGGUCCUUUAAGUCUGAUGUGAAAGCCCACGGCUCAACCGUGGAGGGCCAUUGGAAACUGGGGGACUUGAGUGCAGAAGAGGAAAGCGGAAUUCCACGUGUAGCGGUGAAAUGCGUAGAGAUGUGGAGGAACACCAGUGGCGAAGGCGACUCUUUGGUCUGUAACUGACGCUGAGGCGCGAAAGCGUGGGGAGCGAACAGGAUUAGAUACCCUGGUAGUCCACGCCGUAAACGAUGAGUGCUAAGUGUUAGAGGGUUUCCGCCCUUUAGUGCUGCAGCAAACGCAUUAAGCACUCCGCCUGGGGAGUACGGCCGCAAGGCUGAAACUCAAAGGAAUUGACGGGGGCCCGCACAAGCGGUGGAGCAUGUGGUUUAAUUCGAAGCAACGCGAAGAACCUUACCAGGUCUUGACAUCCUCUGACCCUCCUAGAGAUAGGACUUUCCCCUUCGGGGGACAGAGUGACAGGUGGUGCAUGGUUGUCGUCAGCUCGUGUCGUGAGAUGUUGGGUUAAGUCCCGCAACGAGCGCAACCCUUG
rnacentral:rRNA from 1 species